CCCCCCCCCCCCCCCCCCCCCCCCCCCCCCCCCCCCCCCGGGGUGCUGUGACGGCUGUUCCCGGUCGUGCAGGGCGUUCCCGGGUGCAGCGGCGCCGGCGGCUCCGGCGGGGAUGUACAACAACAUGAGCAUCACCGUGUCCAUGGCCGGCGGCGGCGCCGGCAUCGGCCCCAUGGGCGGCGGCAUCCCCAUCAACCCCAUGAUGGCCGGCGUCAACUCCAUGUGCUCCGAGCAGGUCCCGGACGCGGCGCUGAGGCCUCCAGGGCUCUACUGCAACCAGCUGGGCUCCGGGGAGCUGCUCAAGGCCGAGCCGGACGGCGCCCAGGACGCGAAGACCGAAGAGUUCUUCUCUGGGGUGGCUCCAGACUAGAGGAGAAGUUCUCUAGUGCAGCAGGUCCAGGUGUUCGCCGACGUCCAGUGCACGGUGAAUUUGGUGGGAGAUCCUUACCUCAACCCGCCGCCGGCUCCGUUGGCCAAUCCCAAAAAUCCCGGCCCCCCCCCCCCCCCCCCCCCCCCCCCCCCCCCCCCCCCCCCCCCCCCCCCCCCCCCCCCCCCCCCCCCCCCCCCCCCCCCCCCCCCCCCCCCCCCCCCCCCCCCCCCCCCCCCCCCCCCCCCCCCCCCCCCCCCCCCCCCCCCCCCCCCCCC
rnacentral:lncRNA from 12 species